rnacentral:rRNA from 1 species
UACAGAGGGGGCAAGCGUUGUUCGGAAUUACUGGGCGUAAAGGGCGCGUAGGCGGCCUGUUAAGUCGGACGUGAAAUCCCUCGGCUCAACCGGGGAACUGCGUCCGAUACUGGCGGACUUGAAUUCGGGAGAGGGAUGUGGAAUUCCAGGUGUAGCGGUGAAAUGCGUAGAUAUCUGGAGGAACACCGGUGGCGAAGGCGGCAUCCUGGACCGACAUUGACGCUGAGGCGCGAAAGCCAGGGGAGCAAACGGG